rnacentral:rRNA from 1 species
UACGGAGGGAGCUAGCGUUGUUCGGAAUUACUGGGCGUAAAGCGCGCGUAGGCGGCUUUGUAAGUUAGAGGUGAAAGCCCGGAGCUCAACUCCGGAACUGCCUUUAAGACUGCAUCGCUUGAAUCCAGGAGAGGUGAGUGGGAUUCCGAGUGUAGAGGUGAAAUUCGUAGAUAUUCGGAAGAACACCAGUGGCGAAGGCGGCUCACUGGACUGGUAUUGACGCUGAGGUGCGAAAGCGUGGGGAGCAAACAGG